ACGAACGCUUGGCGGCGUGCCUAAUACAUGCAAGUCAAGCGGACAGAAGGGAGCUUGCUCCCGGAUGUUAGCGGCGGACGGGUGAGUAACACGUGGGUAACCUGCCUGUAAGACUGGGAUAACUCCGGGAAACCGGAGCUAAUACCGGAUAGUUCCUUGAACCGCAUGGUUCAAGGAUGAAAGACGGUUUCGGCUGUCACUUACAGAUGGACCCGCGGCGCAUUAGCUAGUUGGUGGGGUAAUGGCUCACCAAGGCGACGAUGCGUAGCCGACCUGAGAGGGUGAUCGGCCACACUGGGACUGAGACACGGCCCAGACUCCUACGGGAGGCAGCAGUAGGGAAUCUUCCGCAAUGGACGAAAGUCUGACGGAGCAACGCCGCGUGAGUGAUGAAGGUUUUCGGAUCGUAAAGCUCUGUUGUUAGGGAAGAACAAGUGCGAGAGUAACUGCUCCACCUUGACGGUACCUAACCAGAAAACCACGCUAAGUGCCAGCAGCCGCGGUA
rnacentral:rRNA from 1 species